AUGAACCUGGCUCCUCUCAUGCACCUGCUCUUCCUGCUGCUGCUGCUGCUGCUGCUGCUGCAGCUCUUCCUGUUCCUUCUGCUGUUGCUGCUGCUGAGCCAUCAGCCACCUCCUCCGGUCCAAAGCCAUCUGCCUGCGACGGGCCUCCCAGUGCCCUGUGAAUGUAGAAGACACCUUUCCACCUGCUUUGAGUUUCCAUGCGCCCAGGGACAGCUUCCGAGUCGGCUGGGUGUUCUCUCUGAUUUCUUCCUCCCAGCCUUCCCAGGAUUCCACCAUCAUCAUCAGGCCCUCUGCUGUGCCCUUCCUCCCCACCACCAAAGUUCUCUGGACUUCCCCUUCCCUCAGUCUUCCAUCUCCUCCUGCUGUACUGAGUCAAGAGGACAGAAAAUAUAAAACCCAACAAACCCUUACUGGGGUCUGACCCCCAAAAAGGCAGGGUGGCUAAUGAGAUUUAGAACACUGGGCUCAAGCCUGGGAUCUACCUCUUCCUCUGACCCCAGAGAGCCUACCUAACAUCCUGGGCCUCAGUCUCCUUGCCCGUAGAAUUAGAAGGGUUUUACUUGUUACCUCCUUUGCAGGACUGGUAUCAGGACUAAGUGGAUUAAUGGGUGAGGAAUAUACAAGACAAGGCAGAAAAUUAUCCAGCUACAGGCUGGUGUUUUUUUAAUUCUCCUACCUGAUUUUCAUCCUCAGUAGGUGGAAUGGCCAGGGGAAGGUAUCAUUCCUGUAACCCAGGAGCAGGUGCUGGGUAGGCUAAUGACUGCGAGGCUACCUCCUACAGCCACAUGCCCUUACCCACAGAUAACAAUCUUUCUAGAAGCUGCAGAGCCUGAGUCCAGCUUCAGGGCUGCAAACCCAGCCACAGUUUCAAACACCAUGCUGGUGGAAAGCAGGGUGAGGUGGGAAGGUGACAAGGGAGAAAAGCCCUUGAACCGGAGAACAGGUUCCCGAAGAACCUGUCAAUUCGGGCAGCUGGUUGAGUGGAGUCAGCCUGGGCUGCGGAGUCCAACACACUCAGGCUGAAUCCUGUUUGUGCCACCUCCUAGCUGGUGGUACUUGGGUAGGUCACUCAGUGUCUCUGAGCCUUUCCUGUGAGACUUUUUGUGUGGAGGCCACCUUUAGACAACAAGCUUGAGCAACUGUGAGCCACCACCAAACUGAAUCCGGACAGGCUCAUGGGGUGACCCGCCUCAAACUAUCCAUUGGCCCUAACUAACCAGUGGGCUACUUCCAACCAGGCACAGUUACCAAAAAAGGGAAAUUCCAUAGAUCCCCACACCUCCUCACCUUCCCUCUUUAAAUACAGCCACCACUCACUACCUUGCAGACACUCUCUGCUUUCCUGCCCCCCACCCUUGCAGUGUAUUCAAUAAAAUUCUAUCUCCUUUGUUGUGCCUCA
rnacentral:lncRNA from 12 species